rnacentral:rRNA from 1 species
UACGGGGGGGGCAAGCGUUGUUCGGAAUUACUGGGCGUAAAGGGCUCGUAGGUGGCCAACUAAGUCGGACGUGAAAUCCCUCAGCUUAACUGGGGAACUGCGUCCGAUACUGGAUGGCUUGAGUUUGGGAGAGGGAUGCGGAAUUCCAGGUGUAGCGGUGAAAUGCGUAGAUAUCAGGAGGAACACCGGUGGUGUAGACGGCUUUCUGGACCGUAACUGACGCUGAAACACGAAAGCGUGGGUAGCAAACAGG